GGUUCUGCUAUCACUCUUGGAUGGGACCCUGCGGUGCAUUAGCUAGUGGUAGGGUAACGGCCUACCAAGGCGAUGAUGCAUAGCCGAGUUGAGAGACUGAUCGGCCACAUUGGGACUGAGACACGGCCCAAACUCCUACGGGAGGCAGCAGUAGGGAAUCUUCCACAAUGGACGAAAGUCUGAUGGAGCAACGCCGCGUGAGUGAAGAAGGUUUUCGGAUCGUAAAGCUCUGUUGUUGGUGAAGAAGGAUAGAGGUAGUAACUGGCCUUUAUUUGACGGUAAUCAACCAGAAAGUCACGGCUAACUACGUGCCAGCAGCCGCGGUAAU
rnacentral:rRNA from 1 species